GUGGAGUCUGUGUACAAGCUCUAUAUAAAUAUAACCGAAUGACGAAGGCUGCAUCAGUUGUAUUCGGCCGACAGUGAUAUAACAUUUGGAGACAAUGAAGGUAGUCCUUGCCACUUUGAUGAUGGCCGUCUUGGUGUCAAGCCAAAACCCUUACGAAAAACCAAACUACACUAGCUACUCCUUCCCGGAAAACAAACAGGAAUACAAUCAGGAUCAGGAAUACCCUGAAGUUUACAAGCCAUAUUUAGAUUCAACUCCGGUUUACAAUAAACCUGUGCACACACAUGCUAAGUUUAAGCCAUAUUUGCAUUACGGCACGUUAUUUCGACCCUAUUACCCAAUAUUCAAGCCAAACUAUCGCGAACCUGAGACGUUGUACAGACAUUUACGUUACUCUUCCAGGUGGUACCCCACACAUGCUACGUACGAUACUGCGUAUCUGUUUUAUAAAUAAAAACUUUAAAUGCCAUCAUA